UGUUGUAUAUUGGAAUAUACGCAAAAUACUCACUCAUAAUGAUGGGGUCGGUAGUUCGAAUCUACCCAUAGCCACCA
rnacentral:tRNA from 1 species